rfam:Macleaya cordata isolate BLH2017 scaffold7679, whole genome shotgun sequence.
GGGUGUGAUCAUACCAGCGCUAAUGCACCGGAUCCCAUUAAAAUUCCGCAGUUAAGCGUGCCUGGACGACAGUGGUACUAGGAUGGGUGACCUCCUGGGAAGUCCUCGUUUUGCGCCCC